CACCAACCUUCCAGAAACAGGAAAGGCCCUCCGAGCCGCCAGCCCAGCCCGUAGAACAAGCCGUUCCCAGUCCCAGGUGGAGUUUCUGGCCUGACCCACACGCAGACGCCGCACAUGGGUGGUCUGGUGGAUCAGAGGAGGAGCAGAAAGACGAUAGCAGGCUCCGGAGACCCACGCAGCCUGGGUCUUCCUCCACAGCCUCAGUCUUUCCGGCUGGGAAAUGGGGAAACGGCCUCUGCUUCACCAGCUGGUGAGGAUUUUAUUGGUUAAGGCCUGGAACAGACUUCAAGGGCACUUGGCUCCCGGAAAGAUGUUAGGCCCAUUCCCGAACACGGAGUCAUCUGCAUGGCAGACGGAGGAACCGUGUUCACGUGAACGCAAUGUGAGGUCUGGGCUUUUCUGGGCAUGUCCAGUGGCUUAUGUACUUUGAUCAGACCUUCCUUGGAAGAAAGGGCGGCUCAGAUUCAGCGGAGG
ensembl:lncRNA